UGUUCCAGUGCCUCACAACCCUCACAGGAAUAGGAUUCGGAAGAUUUCCAUAUAGUACAAGUCUGAAGACUGAUGGGUGUAUUACUGGAUCCGUAACACAUCAGUACCAUGCUACCCUUGGGAAGGUCUACCACAAGGCAUUUGAUCUAGCCACAAAACCACCUGAAAGGUUUCCACUUGUGCAGCAUGCCUUUGGAGGAAGAGAGUGAGGAAACUGGAAGCAGAAUGUGGCUCAUUCAAAAUAAUCACUCAAGACCUAGGUCAGGAUUAGAAGUCUUUAAGGAAAAAAACUCAACGGCUCUUCAGGACAAAAAAAAAAAAAAGAGAGGCUUACUGCCUCCAGAUGUAUAGUGCACUUACAUUGCCCUAACUCCUUUAAAAAAAUUAUUGGCAUCUGUGCAAAUGAGUUCU